GGCUCGUUAGCUCAGUUGGUAAGAGCACCGAACUGAAUUCUCGGAGGUCGUGGGUUCGAAUCCCACAUGGGCCC